rnacentral:rRNA from 1 species
GUAAAGCACUCCUACGGGAGGCAGCAGUGGGGAAUAUUGCACAAUGGGCGCAAGCCUGAUGCAGCCAUGCCGCGUGUAUGAAGAAGGCCUUCGGGUUGUAAAGUACUUUCAGCAGUGAGGAAGGUGGGUAUGUUAAUAGCAUACUCAUUUGACGUUAGCUGCAGAAGAAGCACCGGCUAACUCCGUGCCAGCAGCCGCGGUAAUACGGAGGGUGCGAGCGUUAAUCGGAAUUACUGGGCGUAAAGCGCAUGCAGGUGGUUUGUUAAGUCAGAUGUGAAAGCCCGGGGCUCAACCUCGGAAUUGCAUUUGAAACUGGCAAACUAGAGUACUGUAGAGGGGGUAGAAUUUCAGGUGUAGCGGUGAAAUGCGUAGAGAUCUGAAGGAAUACCGGUGGCGAAGGCGGCCCCCUGGACAGAUACUGACACUCAGAUGCGAAAGCGUGGGGAGCAAACAGGAUUAGAUACCCUGGUAG